rnacentral:lncRNA from 1 species
AUAAAUCUUGGAUCGGCCUGUAACGACCCGACCCGUUAGCAACAAUAACUCGCUGGGCUUAAAUAAUCGGUCGAAAAUGCUUAAGCGUAGCUAAUAUUAUUAGCGUGUAGGCCUCAUAUAUUCUAAUCAGAAUCAGUUUUCCAUCUGAUGUGGGACUAUUGGGGUGUUACAAACUCCCCCUGUUUAGACUUUGACGUUCUCGUCGGGUCCAAACCAUAUCACAGAUGCAGACCAGAAUUACUAAGUCAUAUGAGAUUUUAGAGGUAUCUCCUACGGGUUCAAGAGGUGGCUUCCACUAAAUCUAUUGGUGUAGCACUUUGUCCUGCAUAGCACUUAGUUCUCACACUUUCGGCUGGUAUUCGGUUAUGAUAUCAAUUGCAACGACCCGGCCCACCAGCAAUAAUAACUCGUUAUGCCCAAACUACCGGCCCAACCCACUAGCAGCAAUAACUGGGCUUAAGCAUUUUGGGCCGGUGGUUUGGCCCCAACGAGUUAUUGUUGCUGGCGGGUCGAGUCGUUGCAAGUGGUAUCAAAACGGAAUACCAGCCGAAAGUGAGAGUUAAGUGAUAUAUCGGGUAAAGUGCUACAACAACAGAUUUGGUGGGAGUCACCUCUAAAAUCUCACAUCACCUGAUAAUUCUGGUCUGCAUUUGUGAUCUGAUUCGAACUCGACGAGUACGUCAAGAUCUAAAUAGGGGGAGUUUAUAAGGCCCCAAUAGUCCCACAUCGAGUGAAAAACUGAUUCUGAUUAAAAUGUAUGAGGCAUACAUGCUAGUAAUAAUAACUGGAUUUAAAUAUUUUGGAUCGGUGGUUUAGACUCAACAAAUUAUUAUUACUGGGGGGUCGGAUCGUUA